rnacentral:rRNA from 1 species
GGGCCCGCACAAGCAGUGGAGCAUGUGGUUUAAUUCGAUGCAACGCGAAGAACCUUACCAGGGUUUGACAUCCUGCGAAUCUCUUGGAAACGAGAGAGUGCCUUCGGGAGCGCAGUGACAGGUGGUGCAUGGCUGUCGUCAGCUCGUGUCGUGAGAUGUUGGGUUAAGUCCCGCAACGAGCGCAACCCACGUCUUUAGUUGCCAGCAUUUAGUUGGGCACUCUAGAGAGACUGCCGGUGAUAAACCGGAGGAAGGUGUGGAUGACGUCAAGUCAUCAUGCCCCUUACAUCCUGGGCUACACACGUACUACAAUGCUACGGACAAAGGGCAGCAAGUUCGCGAGGACAAG